rnacentral:tRNA from 1 species
GCGGUGGUAGUAUAGUGGUUAGUAUGCGGCGUUGCCAACGCUGCGACCCGAGUUCGAGUCUCGGCCAUCGCACCA